rnacentral:lncRNA from 1 species
GACCGCCCACGCCCCGGCCCGCGGCGCGUCCCGGACGUCCACGCUUGCGUUUCUGCGGAUCGUGGGAAUCCUUCUGCGUGGGAGUUUUAGAAAUGCUAACCGAGCUCAGGUUUUGAACAUGUCUGGGACUGUGAAUUGGCUGCCAGAAUGAAAACAGUUUAGGCUAAUCCCUACGGGUAUGCUGCUGCCAAGUUGGUUCUUUUACUGUGCUCAUCAGAAGUGCCAGAAAAAUACCCGCACCCGCCCCCCAUUUAGCCUCUGGAAGAAGAUGUUCUAAAGGGCUCACAAACAUCCAGAUGUAGCUCUUACCAAGCUCCAGCGUCAGAAGGAGUGCCUCAGCGUCUAAGUCCGUAUAUACACACACGGCUUUUCAUGCAUCCUCUGCUGGGGAGGUCACAAUCUGAGGCACCCUUUAAAGCCACUUCUGGGAGAAAAGAAAGAGAAAAAAAAAAAUCAACCACUGAACGUCUAGUGAGCUGUUUCCUAAGGAGGCAUCAACAAACUCCUACCAGCCCCAGUCCUCAGUAACGUCAUGAGAUGGGCUGCUUGUGGUUGUCAAAACUGAUCUUCCCACUGCGGGUGAACACGUACGGCGGAUUGUUAUGGCUUAGGGCGCUUGACUGCACCGCUGUGAAAAUAUUCAGCAGAAUUCCACAAGCUCUUUGUUUGCCUUGCCUUAGUGGAAAUUCCUCCAGCUAUCCAAACACGCACCUGGGGGAGGUGUUUUUUUUUUCCCCCUCCACAUUUCAGGAAGGGGUUUCUUCUAAGUAAAAAUGUGUCCUUACCUCUCUUCUAAGUUCUCAGGCAAGACUUCUGGUUUGAGUUGAAGAUGACUAUGAAUGUGUUCUGGUUGGAAAGGGAGGUGGAGUUGGAGGAGCCGGAGAGGUCUGUAGCAAAUGUUCCUCCAACAGAGCUAAGCUGGGAAAAGGAAAGCCAAUGGAAGCCAACAAAGAAGGAAGCACGAAGCAAGGCUCCCCCAGAUUCCUAGAAGCCCAGGAACACAAAAGCCAGGAAGAUGAAUCGUCUUUUACAGUAGUAGACCUGUAUAUAGGAACGGGGAAGAUUCUAGGGUGAAAGAUCCGGGCUGCCGCUGGUCACCCAGAAGGGAGUAUGUACCUUGAGUUUCGUAACACGGAAUGGAAGUUUGGAGGCCCCUUGAAAAGAACCAAAGCACAAAGGAAGUUGGGCCUGAAGAAGGCUGGGAGACCUCUCACGCAGAGACCCAGGGCUCAGGACAGAGAAAGGAAGGUAGAACGCCAAGUGGAUCUCAUAUUUGCUCUGCGGGCUUCUGGGAAGUGUUUGAAAACAUUCUAUUUAAACUGUGCCUCUUAAGAGAGCUCUCCACUUACAUCUAACUCAGUGUGCUCAUAUUAGCAAAUAGAAAUUAUGGGAACAUUCCAAGUGCUCCCCGCCUUCCUGGUCCUCCCUCCCUGACCCCGAUAGUCUGUCCUGCCUGGAGUCUGGGCGAAUGUUUGUUUCUGAGGGAUGGAAACUGAUUAAAAACUAGAAGGCUGCUUGGGAAAAAUUUUAUAAUAGCAUGUGUGAGGUGAGUUCCACAGAAGGCUAGGGAGGGCAGGAAGGCCCCGUGCAGCCAGGGCUCCAUGCAGGCCAUCUGAAAAAAGAGGCUCCUCUUCCAACCCAGAGCUGUUGUCUUAAUUGUGGUGGAACUGCUUUUCAUAUUCCCUUAGCUUUUUAACACUAAACCAAGAUGAGAAAUUGAGAAAUGAACAUUUGUUUGGUUUUUUUUCUUUUUUUCUUUUUUUUUUUUUUUUUGAGACAGGGUUUCUCUGUGUAGCCCUGGCUGUCCUGAACUCACUCUGUAGACCAGGCUGACCUCGAACUCAGAAAUCCACCUGCCUCUGCCCCCCAAUUAAAGGCGUGCGCCACCACUGCCCGGCUUGAACAUUUGUUUUCAAGCACAUAAGGCUGAUGUGUUCAGGUAGUACGUUUAAUACUCGAUUGGUGGCAUAUAUAUAUUAAAAGGGAUGUUAAAUUGCUCAAAAAAAAAAAAAAAAAAAAAAAAAAAA